rnacentral:rRNA from 1 species
CCUACGGGAGGCAGCAGUGGGGAAUAUUGCACAAUGGGGGAAACCCUGAUGCAGCGACGCCGCGUGAGUGAAGAAGUAUUUCGGUACGUAAAGCUCUAUCAGCAGGGAAGAAAAUGACGGUACCUGACUAAGAAGCCCCGGCUAACUACGUGCCAGCAGCCGCGGUAAUACGUAGGGGGCAAGCGUUAUCCGGAUUUACUGGGUGUAAAGGGAGCGUAGACGGCAGCGCAAGUCUGGAGUGAAAUCCCAUGGCUUAACCAUGGAACUGCUUUGGAAACUGUGCAGCUAGAGUGCAGGAGAGGUAAGCGGAAUUCCUAGUGUAGCGGUGAAACGCGUAGAUAUUAGGAGGAACACCAGUGGCGAAGGCGGCUUACUGGACUGUAACUGACGUUGAGGCUCGAAAGCGUGGGGAGCAAACAGGAUUAGAUACCCCAGUAGUC